CCUACGGGAGGCAGCAGUGGGGAAUAUUGCACAAUGGGGGAAACCCUGAUGCAGCGACGCCGCGUGAGUGAAGAAGUAAUUCGUUACGUAAAGCUCUAUCAGCAGGGAAGAAACACUGACCUUAUGGUAAGCAGACGGUACCUGAGUAAGAAGCACCGGCUAACUCCGUGCCAGCAGCCGCGGUAAUCCGUAGGGGGCAAGCGUUAUCCUGAUUUACUGGGUGUAAAGGGAGCGUAGACGGUGCGCCAAGUCUGGAGUGAAAUGCCGCAGCUUAACUGCGGAACUGCUUUGGAAACUGGCGAACUAGAGUGCGGGAGGGGUAAGCGGAAUUCGUGGUGUAGCGGUGAAAUGCGUAGAUAUUAGGAGGAACACCGGUGGCGAAGGCGGCUUACUGGACCGUAACUGACGUUGAGGCUCGAAAGCGUGGGGAGCAAACAGGAUUAGAUACCCGAGUAGUC
rnacentral:rRNA from 1 species